UUCGGUCGCUACCAUGAAGGCAUAUUCUGGACUCAUCUGAGAACAGAACAGAUCCCCAUUGUUCCAACGUCCAAUUCAGAUGAUCCCUUGCAAAACGCAGGCGUGCUUGCCGAUGAGGUGGAGUAAGUUUUGGACCAAUCGCAGGUGUUUUAGGGGUCAGGUUAUUUUCCUACAGUCUUCGUCUCACUGUCCACUGACUAAUAGACACUCCUCGCACCUCACGGAGCUGUCGUUGCACUUGAACGGCAUUAAGGUGACGAUUUCUUAAUAUUGUUGACACAAUAAAGCGGUCGUCACGAGCGGUUGUAAAUCGCUUCCUACCUGUUCCAAGUCGCCUAUGAAAAGAUCCAAUCUCCUCAUAACGUUGGCACACUCUUCGAACCGCUGCGCGAGUCAUAUCCAAUUGUCUAGCAACAGCUCGCUGACUAAGUCCAUUUUCGAUUAAAGCAAUAACUUGGGCGGCUUUUUGUGGUGUAGUAUGCAUUAAAUUAACACACUUGAACACUAUUGAGGUUAUGAAAAACGAAUAAUAUGCAAAUUUCAGUUGCAAACGCAAUAAUUUUAUUAUUUGACAAAUUUGUUAUAUUCGUUACAAUCACCACAUAAACACGGUUCAUUUGUUUACCGGUUGCUACGCAUAUAAACGAUAAGCCUUCUUGAUAAAUUUCUACUCACAUUAAAGGAUCCUAAAUUGUCUUUCAAACAGCAUAUUUGUUUCUUUGAUCUGAUGGAUAAUUUUUUAAAAAAAUAUAUUUAAAGUCAAAAGUUUACAGUGGGCCGAUUUCUAUGCACGCAAGUUUAUACUGCUAAAAUAAAUAAUUUGUUAAUUUCUGAACGUAUAAAAAUAUAUAGCAGACUAUUAAUUUCUGAAGGCGAUGGUAAAGUUUCUAACCUAAUAUUGAUUGGCAAAAAUAUCUACGCCAUACGUUUUUUCUCACCUGGAUGGCGUAACUACAAAUGGGUAUAAUUUCGACUUUACGCCUUAUGUGUUUUUAGGCGAUGGGGCUUUUGCAUUACAUAAGAAUGUGAUGAAACCUUUUCCAGGAAAUCAUGACAUGGGCACUAAAGAAAGAACAUUUAAUUAUAAACUUUCAAGCAGUCGUGUCAUUGUUGAAAAUACUUUCGGUGUCUUGACAUCUGUCUUUAGAGUAUUUAAAAAACCCAUUGAAAUAGAUGUAAGCAAGGGACUUUUGAUGCCAUUGAGGACGGAGUACUUAUUGAAGGCUCCUGGAGACAACAAAAUACAGGUGUAUCUGCCAUAAGGAAUAUACCACAUGUAGCCAGACGAGCUCCAGCUACCGCAAUGCAAGUUAGAUCGGAAUUUGCCGAUUAUUUCAAUAAUGUUGAAUUGUAAUUUAAAAACACCCAAAAUUUUUAAAGAUUAAAUUUUUUAAAACAGUAA